rnacentral:ncRNA from 1 species
AACGAACGUAUGAGCCAAAAUGUAUAGUUAAUUUUAUCUUGAAGAUAAAAUCGUCCUAGGUCGUUUUAUAUAAUAAAACAAGCUGCCUCAUGCUGAGUACUCUUGGCCAGCUUGGCCAGCCUCAACUCUUCCACCUUUCGUCGCGGCAAACUCACUGAUUCUCUGAUCUUGUACAGUCGGUCGUACGAGCAUGGUAUGACAGCCAAAUGUCGAAUGUGUCGAACUCUUGAUAGCACGACAAAAGUCAAUCCAAGAGUUCUCUCUCUCUCUUUCCCAAAUUAACAAUAACAACGAUCCAAUUUCUGCCCUUUGAUCCUAUGUAUGGUCAAUGCAUAUGACAAUUGGAGCGGGUAUUGCGUCCAAUUUUAUUUGAAAUCUUCGUGGAUAGUGAUAGACAGAGGAAAGCAUUUACCAAGGAUGUUUUCAUUAAUCAAGAACGAAAGUUAGGGGAUCGAAGAUGAUUAGAUACCAUCGUAGUCUUAACCAUAAACUAUGCCGACUCGGGGAUUGGCAGUCGUUUACUUAAAAUGACCUUGUCAGGACCGUAUGAGAAAUCAAAGUCUUUGGGUUCCGGGGGGAGUAUGGUCGCAAGGCUGAAACUUAAAGAAUUGACGGAAGGGCACCACCAGGAGUGAGCCUGCGGCUUAAUUUGACUCAUACGGGAAAACUUACCAGGUCAGACAAGUAGGAUUGACAGAUGAGAAGCUCUUCUGAUCUACGGGGGGGGG